UGAAAUGCAUACAAACUCAUAUACAGGUCCUAGACUACAGAAAAAAAUUCAAUGUAAAAGGAUAAACUUACCGUUCCGUAUGUUAAAUUUUCCUGGAUUAGCAACAUCAGGUUCACACAUGUACUGUAAUACAAGAUUGCAGUUCAGUUUAUGUGGAUCUUUGUCCUCACUUCCUCCACAGCCAUGUUGAUUUGUCCAUUCAAUUGUCAGAAAUGAUUUGCCUUCAUUUCCUUCCCCUUUUGGUCCACUUUGGAAAAAUUCCUGAAAACAUUUAAAAUAAACA
rnacentral:lncRNA from 1 species